rnacentral:lncRNA from 1 species
AGCAUGAAGUCUGCGGUGCUUCUGAAAUUUAAUGAAUAACAAAUAUCAAACAUUCCUAAAUCACGUAGUGGAAUGUACUCACGGUUAUAGAUUAUGUUUUAUACAUUUCAGAUAUAUUAGGCCACAUAAAAUAAAUUCCUUGAUUCUCAUCACUACACUUUGAAAAUGUCGAAGAGGCGGGAGGUUUAUAUUUUAUAUUUUAUAUUUAUAUAAUUUUUAUAUCAAUAUUAAAUAAAAGUGUCACAAACUGAAAUAAACAUAUUUCUCCACGAACAAUGACUGGCCCUUGAACUGAAUGCGAAGUUCUGUUAAAAUACAAUGAAAUUUCUUUCAAGGUUCUANNNNNNNNNNNNNNNNNNNNAAAAUAUAAAAAAAAAUUUGGACUUAAGCCUUUCAAAUGUGAAUUUUGUAAUACGAGAUUCACUCAAAAAUGCAAUAUGAAAAGACAUUUAGGGACGUGCAAGAUAGCGAUUGAACAUUCCCAAAACUCUUCAAAGGCAGACAAGGUUACGCCUCUUACACGGGGCGAUUCAGGGGUUUAUAUUUUAUAUUUAUAUAAUUUUUAUAUCAAUAUUAAAUAAAAGUGUCACAAACUGAAAUAAACAUAUUUCUCCACGAACAAUGACUGGCCCUUGAACUGAAUGCGAAGUUCUGUUAAAAUACAAUGAAAUUUCUUUCAAGGUUCUAUUUGUUUGAAAUUGGCAGUUUAAAAUGGCACUAAAAACCCAAUAUAAAAUAUAAAAAACUUAACUGUCUUGAAAUAUUUUGUCGGGCGGUACAUUUAUAUUGUAUUCACGCGGCUCUUAAAAUACAGUCGGGCGGUGAUGAGAAUCAAGGAAUUUAUUUUAUGUGGCCUAACGAUAACAGUCUAACAAUUACUUCGGAUUGUCAAUUUCCUAUUCAAGUCGAAAGAGUUCAGUUUGGUUGUUUAACAAAUUUAUGCUGACUUGUUUUUCUAUAUUAAGCUUAUUAUUCACUAUAAAAACCAAACGGGCUAGUAUAAGAGCCCUCUUAAAUUCCAGUUUCCUUUUGAU